ACUCAGCUGACGAGUCCCAAAUAGGAUGAACUGCUCGUCAAACUGAAU
rnacentral:hammerhead_ribozyme from 1 species